rnacentral:rRNA from 1 species
CAGUCGCCGCGGGAAUACGGAAGGUCCAGGCGUUAUCCGGAUUUAUUGGGUUUAAAGGGGGUGUAGGCGGUCUGUUAAGCGUGUUGUGAAAUUUAGGUGCUCAACAUCUAACUUGCAGCGCGAACUGGCGGACUUGAGUGCACGCAACGUAUGCGGAAUUCAUGGUGUAGCGGUGAAAUGCUUAGAUAUCAUGACGAACUCCGAUUGCGAAGGCAGCGUACGGGAGUGUUACUGACGCUUAAGCUCGAAGGUGCGGGUAUCGAACAGGAUUAGAUACCCGCGUAGUCCCUGUCUCUUAUAC